CCUACGGGCGGCUGCAGUGGGGAAUAUUGGACAAUGGGGGGAACCCUGAUCCAGCCAUGCCGCGUGUGUGAAGAAGGCCCUCGGGUUGUAAAGCACUUUCAGUGAGGAAGAACGCCUGGUGGUUAAUACCCAUCAGGAAAGACAUCACUCACAGAAGAAGCACCAGCUAACUCCGUGCCAGCAGCCGCGGUAAUACGGAGGGUGCGAGCGUUAAUCGGAAUUACUGGGCGUAAAGCGCGCGUAGGUGGCUUGAUAAGCCGGUUGUGAAAGCCCCGGGCUCAACCUGGGAACGGCAUCCGGAACUGUCAAGCUAGAGUGCAGGAGAGGAAGGUAGAAUUCCCGGUGUAGCGGUGAAAUGCGUAGAGAUCGGGAGGAAUACCAGUGGCGAAGGCGGCCUUCUGGACUGACACUGACACUGAGGUGCGAAAGCGUGGGUAGCAAACAGGAUUAGAUAUCCGUGUAGUC
rnacentral:rRNA from 1 species